AUGCGAGCGGCGGGCAGCCCCCCCACGCUCCCCCCCUCGUCCUACCGGGGCUGCCGGCUCCCCCGGCGGGGGCUGCGGGGGCGAGUGGAUGGGAUUUGGAAGCGAAGCUGUGGAAAUUGCCGUCGCGCCCACGGCUGCUGUCAGCGGAGCUGCAGGGAGCCCGGGGCGAUCGAUGGCCACGAGCGGAGCCAGACCCACGGCGUGGCCCCCACGCCUCGUUGGGGGGGGUCUGUGCGCUGCCCUCGCCGGCGAGGGGGGGCCGGGUGGGCACGUGGCACCGCUGCAUGGUGUGGGCACAGCUGUGCCGGGGGGGCACCGGGUGGGCUAUGGGCACAGAUUGAUCGGGCUCCUCCCUGGCGUGGCAAAAGGGGUUUUGGGGACCCCAGGGGGUACGUGGACCCCCUCCAUGGGAAGCGGGGGCCCCAGCCUGUUGGGAUGGCCCCUCUCCCUCACCCAUUCUGUGGUGCGAGUGCUCAGGGUUGUGGCUGGGGGCUGCGCCCAGCCAGCGGGACCCCCGCCACCCGUCCGUGCUGGGGCUCCCCCAGGCUCCCCAUGACCCCGCACCCCUUUGUGCGGGGAGGGGGCAUUUGCUGGGCAGCUCCUUCCCCUCCCAUUGAUGCUGUGUCUCCAGGCGGAAGCCCAGGCCCCAUAAAUCGUGCGUGUGUAAGACGUGCCGUGCCGAGGCGCAGCACAAUGGCAGGGCACUGGGCUCGUCCCACUGCGCUUGGGCACCUUCCCACACCCCGCUCCUCCGGCCAGACCCCGCUGACACCCCCCCAUCCCCGCUCUGUGACAUUGCCAGGACCCCUGUGGAUGGGCGAUUCCCGCGCCCACCCUCAUCCUGCUGCUCCCGAGGGGCUGCCUCUCCCCACCCCAUCGCCCGCAGCCGGCGCUGUGACCCUGCGCUGCCCUCGCCUCCUCCUGGGGGACGGGGUGGGGGGGUGCCGGGGGUGCCCCCGCCGUGUGGUGCCAUGGGCGUCGCAGCCGGCUGCCUGUGCCCACCGCGCACGCGUCUCUGGCGCGGCUGCGAGCGUCCAGCUCAGGGCACGGGCGGCGCGGUGGGGGCGGCUGCGGCAGAGACGUGUCCCAGGGACUCUGGAGCGAGGAUAUUUAUUGUUAGGCAGUGCGGCAGCUCGGCCGCAAUUAUAG
rnacentral:lncRNA from 1 species